rnacentral:rRNA from 1 species
CCCUUAGAUGUUCUGGGCUGCACGCGUGUUACAAUCGGGAGUACAACAAGAUUGCAAAUCCUAGUGGAUGAGUGGUUCUUCGAAAUUUUCUGAAGACUGGGAUAGUUGAUUGAAAUUAUUCAACUCGAACGAGGAAUUCCUUGUAAUUGUAAUUCAUUAUAUUGUAAUGAAUACGUCCCUGCCCUUUGUACACACUGCCCGUCGCUCCUACCGAUUGAACGAUCCGGUGAAUUAUUUGGAGUAGCUCUGGAAGUUGCAGAACUUCCUAUGUCGCGAAAUUUUGUAAACCUUAUCGUUUAGAGGAAGGAAAAGUCGUAACA